GAGGAAUAUUGCGCAAUGGAGGCAACUCUGACGCAGCCAUGCCGCGUGCAGGAAGACGGCCCUACGGGUUGUAAACUGCUUUUAUCCGGGAAGAACCCCCUCGACGUGUCGAGGGUUGACGGUACCGGAGGAAUAAGCACCGGCUAACUUCGUGCCAGCAGCCGCGGUAAUACGAAGGGUGCAAGCGUUAUCCGGAUUCAUUGGGUUUAAAGGGUGCGUAGGCGGGGCGUUAAGUCAGUGGUGAAAUCCUGCAGCUUAACUGUAGAAUUGCCAUUGAUACUGGCGCUCUUGAGUACGCUUGGCGUGGGCGGAAUGUGCCGUGUAGCGGUGAAAUGCUUAGAUAUGGCACAGAACACCGAUCGCGAAGGCAGCUCACGAAGGCGAAACUGACGCUGAGGCACGAAAGCGUGGGGAUCGAAC
rnacentral:rRNA from 1 species